AUUGAACGCUGGCGGCAGGCCUAACACAUGCAAGUCGAACGAGUGGCGGACGGGUGAGUAAUGUCUGGGAAACUGCCCGAUGGCGGGGGAUAACUACUGGAAACGGUAGCUAAUACCGCAUAACAUCGAAUGUUCCCAGAUGGGAUUAGCUAGUAGGUGGGGGAACGGCUCACCUAGGCGACGAUCCCUAGCUGGUCUGAGAGGAUGACAAGACGCCCUGGAAAUGAGACACGUUCCAGACGCCUACGUGAGGCAGCAGGGGGGAAUAUUGCACAAUGGGAGCAAGCCGGAUGCAGCCAUGCCGCGGGUAUGAAGAAGGCCUUCGGGUUGUAAAGUACGUUCAGCGAGGAGGCGUUACUCGCAGAAGAAGCACCGGCUAACUCCGUGCCAGCAGCCGCGGUAAUAC
rnacentral:rRNA from 1 species